CUGGCAAGAAAAUAUAUAUUUCAAGUCAUAUCGUUUGCUGUACUAUACUGUACAUAUAACACUAGCUUACAGUAUGCAGUCACAUAUAAUACCUUGCAGGUAGUUGUAUAUCCUACAAACGAUUGUUAUAUGGGGAUACUAAGAUUUAAGGGGGGGGGGGUGUCGGAAUGCACAUAAUAUAAAUAUUUCAGGUUUUCAUGCUCAUUGUCUCGGUCUAAAUGUCGCAUUUUACAUGUGCCAAAUCUAAUGUGAAUUUACAUGGUUUGACUCAAAUAAUAUAGUUUGACAUUUUGAUUUAAAUGUUGAAUUUAUGUAGGUAGUGAACAUAUUUACAUGUCCAAAGUAA